CUCUCUCUCUCUCAAGUCUCAACCCUCUCAUCACAUUUCUCAGACUCUCUCUCAUACUCAAAGCAUUGGAUAACCAGUUUCUUGAAAUUGCGAAGGUGUUCCGAGGCGUAUCGAAACCCUCACUUCCGAAGACUGCUCGAUUCGUAUUGAUUGCCACAGUCGUCGUGUUUCAUGUGUUCAUCGCCCUCUUUUCCGUCGUCUCCCCGAACCCUAACAAGAAAGCAAUCUACUAUGUGCCUAGGGCUGCUUUGAUGCUAUUUGGUGGCUCAGGUGCAACAAUCGUGUGUGUCAUGGCUUACACGAAGCUUCUCAGGUGCCUCAAUGAAUGGCAUUGGAUCCUCACAUCUCUGGCGGUGGUAGUGUAUGAACUUCGAUCUACUGUUCAACUACCAAACAUCACUCAUCUUCCAUGACCUUCUCUGUUCCUUCACCACGCUCUUCAUCACCUACUACGUUCUCCUCAUCCAUGGCCCUGAUAGGUCUCAUCUCUGAAUAGUAAUAUUCAGCAUUUUCGGAAGUGCUUUGGUAGAUUCACUUUUUGAGGAAGCCAAUGAGCGUGUAGUGAAGUUCUUGGCCUAUUUGGUGGUUUCCGUUGCUGGAUUUCUUUCUAAGAUUUUCCUGGAUAAGUUCUUCGGAGUUCAGAAAGCAACUGGGAGGGUGAAGCCUGUGAAGGAGAUUGUUAACAAUGACGCCGGCGAGGUUUGACGGCACCUUACUUGUUAGAGGAAGCACUUGCACUGAUUUCUGGGGUCCAGCAUUUGUAGAGUAACUUGCAUCAUGUCUUAUGAUUUGCAGUGGGGCAUUUACUGGACAUUCUACUGGUUAGAGGGGCCAUUCUAAGAGUUGAUACUUCAUCACUGUAAUAAUUAGAAACUAAACUUGUAGGCCAAUGUUUAAUUACUAUAAUAGUUAUAAACGAAACUUGUAGGCAUUCUACUGGGCAACUUGAACUGUUUCCUGCAUUGCUUUUUUUGGCAACUGUUAUUCGGUGCGUUAGAAUGAUCAGUCUGUGAAUAUGACCUAGCACAAAAGUAGUUUCUGCAGAUGGUGUAUAUACUGAUGCUAUUUGCUUUGUUGAUACUGUUACUUCAGGUUCAGGUUCUAUAUGCUAAAAUGCUAUUCUUGUA